rnacentral:misc_RNA from 1 species
CUUGUUUAGAGGAAGUAAAAGUCGUAACAAGGUUUCCGUAGGUGAACCUGCGGAAGGAUCAUUAAAUAAUCAAUAAUUUUGGCUCGUCCAUUAUUAUCUAUUUACUGUGAACUGUAUUAUUACUUGACGCUUGAGGGAUGCUCCACUGCUAUAAGGAUAGGCGGUGGGGAUGUUAACCGAGUCAUAGUCAAGCUUAGGCUUGGUAUCCUAUUAUUAUUUACCAAAAGAAUUCAGAAUUAAUAUUGUAACAUAGACCUAAAAAAUCUAUAAAACAACUUUUAACAACGGAUCUCUUGGUUCUC